rnacentral:misc_RNA from 1 species
GUAGGCAUAGAACAUAAGGAAAGCAUUGAACUCUGACUUUCUCACGAUCUCCAGUAUUGUUUGAAGAAAAUUUCUCACAUUUUUCUGUGAAUACCUUUUGCAGUGUACAGUGCACUGUGGCUCGUUCUUGGGGAAUCCUAUGCUGUGUUUUGUCAUGUGCAGAUUUUAUAUUAGGAUUUUUUUUUUUUUAUCAUGUUAACAUUCAGCUUUUCUUCACAAUUGCAAUCCCUCUUCAUUUUAUUUUCCCCAUUCUGAUGGAAUUCUCUGAUAUAUAGCCUUUGAUUUAUUGCUCUUUGUGUUUUCUCUGCUCUUUUU